CUACGGGGGGCUGCAGUGGGGAAUAUUGGACAAUGGGGGAAACCCUGAUCCAGCAAUGCCGCGUGUGUGAAGAAGGCCUGCGGGUUGUAAAGCACUUUCGGUUGGGAGGACUGCUUCUAGCACUAAUAUUGUUGGAAGUUGACGUUACCUUCAGAAGAAGCACCGGCUAACUCCGUGCCAGCAGCCGGGGUAAUACGGAGGGUGCAAGCGUUAAUCGGAAUUACUGGGCGUAAAGCGCGCGUAGGCGGCUAGAUCAGUCGGGUGUGAAAGCCCCGGGCUUAACCUGGGAACGGCAUCCGAUACUGGCUAGCUUGAGUACAGGAGAGGAGAGUGGAAUUCCACAUGUAGCGGUGAGAUGCGUAGAUAUGUGGAGGAACACCAAUGGCGAAGGCAGCUCUCUGGCCUGAUACUGACGCUGAGGUGCGAAAGCGUGGGGAGCAAACAGGAUUAGAUACCCUAGUAGUC
rnacentral:rRNA from 1 species